rnacentral:rRNA from 1 species
AAUGAACGUUGGCGGCGUGGAUUAGGCAUGCAAGUCGUACGGACCGUGGUAGCAAUAUUACGGUUAGUGGCGCAAGGGAGAGUAAUACGUAGGUAUUUACCCUGGGGUCUGGGAUAGCGGCGGGAAACUGCCGGUAAUACCAGAUGAUAUCUCCGGAUCAAAGGUGUGAUUCCGCCCUAGGAGAAGCCUGCGGUCUAUCAGCUAGUUGGUAGGGUAACGGCCUACCAAGGCAAAGACGGAUAUGGGGCGUGAGAGCGUGCCCCCACUCACUGGGACUGAGACACUGCCCAGCCACCUACGGGUGGCUGCAGUCGAGAAUCUUCGGCAAUGGGCGCAAGCCUGACCGAGCGACGCCGCGUGCGGGAUGAAGGCCUUCGGGUUGUAAACCGCUGUCGAAGGGGAGGAAAUUGUAGUGGGUUCACCCAUUAUAUUGACCGAUCCUUGGAGGAAGGGCCGGCUAAGCUCGUGCCAGCCGCCGCCGUAA